UACGGAGGGGGCGCGCGUUAUUCGGAAUUAUUGGGCGUAAAGGGCGCGUAGGCGGCCCGCUAAGUCAAAGGUGAAAUCCCUCGGCUCAACUGAGGAACUGCCUUUGAGACUGUCGGGCUCGAGGCCGGGAGGGGGUAGCGGAAUUCCCAGUGUAGCGGUGAAAUGCGUAGAUAUUGGGAGGAACACCAGUGGCGAAGGCGGCUACCUGGACCGGUUCUGACGCUGAUGCGCGAAAGCGUGGGUAGCAAACAGG
rnacentral:rRNA from 1 species